rnacentral:sRNA from 1 species
GGGGACGCGGGUGGCAGAAAGUGGAGCUGGGCUGAUGUGCGGGAGCGGCCGGAGUCUGUGGAGCUGGAAAUUCACCGGUCCAGGAAGACGUCUUUCCUGCGUCCCAGCACCUUGGGCCACGCUCCUUGGUGAGAGCGCCCUCUCCAAGGAGGCUGGCCCUGGAUAUUUCACCCAAAAUAUUUAUUUUUUCUUUUUUUCUAGCUGGAGUGCAGUUGCCUGAUCUCAGCUCACUGCAACCUCCACCUCCCAGGCUCAAGCUAUCCUCCUGCCUCAGCCUUCCGAGUAGCUGGGACCACAGGGUCUCCCUCUGUCACCCAGGGCUGGAGUGCAGUGGCAUAAUCACAGCUAAUUGCAGCCUCAACAUUCCAGGCCCAAGGAUCCUCCCUUUAGCCUCCCAGAGUCGGAGUCUCCCUAUGUUUCCCAGGCUGGUCUCGAACUCCUGACCUCAA